AUUGAACGCUGGCGGCAUGCCUUACACAUGCAAGUCGAACGGCAGCACGGGAGCAAUCCUGGUGGCGAGUGGCGAACGGGUGAGUAAUGUAUCGGAACGUACCAUUGAGUGGGGGAUAACGUAGCGAAAGUUACGCUAAUACCGCAUAUACCCUGAGGGGGAAAGCAGGGGAUCGCAAGACCUUGUGCUCUUUGAGCGGCCGAUAUCAGAUUAGCUAGUUGGUGAGGUAAAGGCUCACCAAGGCGACGAUCUGUAGCGGGUCUGAGAGGAUGGUCCGCCACACGGGAACUGAGACACGGUCCAGACUCCUACGGGAGGCAGCAGUGGGGAAUUUUGGACAAUGGGGGCAACCCUGAUCCAGCCAUGCCGCGUGAGUGAAGAAGGCCUUCGGGUUGUAAAGCUCUUUCGGCCGGGAGGAAAUCGCAUCAGCUAAUACCUGGUGUGGAUGACAGUACCGGAAUAAGAAGCACCGGCUAACUACGUGCCAGCCGCCGCCGUAACAC
rnacentral:rRNA from 1 species